rnacentral:rRNA from 1 species
AUUGAACGCCGGCGGCAGGCCUAACACAUGCAAGUCGAGCGGAUGAAGGGAGCUUGCUCCUGGAUUCAGCGGCGGACGGGUGUGUAAUGCCUAGGAAUCUGCCUGGUAGUGGGGGAUAACGUCCGGAAACGGGCGCUAAUACCGCAUACGUCCUGAGGGAGAAAGUGGGGGAUCUUCGGACCUCACGCUAUCAGAUGAGCCUAGGUCGGAUUAGCUAGCUGGUGGGGUAAAGGCCUACCAAGGCGACGAUCCGUAACUGGACUGAGAGGAUGAUCAGUCACACUGGAACUGGGACACGGUCCCGGCUACUACGGGAGGGAGCAGUGGGGAAUAUUGGACAGUGGGCGGAAGCCUGGUCCAACCGGGCCGCGUGUGAUGAGAAGGUCUUCGGAUUGUAAAGCACUUUAAGUUGGGAGGAAGGGCAGUAAGUUAAUACCUUGCUGUUUUGACGUUACCAACAGAAUAAGCACCGGCUAACUUCGUG